UACAGAGGCAUGUAGCUUUGCAACCUUCUUUAACAACUGGAUCUUCACAGGUUACCAUCUUCUUCAGAUCUAUACAGGUAGAAUGAUCACCUUCAUGUCCACAACUAUUGGUGCACAGCCCAUCUUCAGAGUGAUCAGGACAACUGGCACAUGGUACUCCUACUGUGUAUGAAUUCAAAAGCUGAAUAUAUCCAAGGCAUGAGGGUAAUACAAACAUGGAAGGACAGCAGCAAUAGGAUACAUGUGAUGACAAAGACCCAUGUACAAUCAGCUACUGCUAAGAAGUUCUAAGCAUAUGGACAUUGAAAUCUGAAAACUUCCUCCCAUGUAUAGGAGCAGAUUCUCUAUAAUUUGCAUGGGUAUUUUGAGGGCUUUUUUUUUUUGGAAAUGAAUGUAAAGCAAAAAUGUACUUCCUAUGCAAAAAUAUAUUUGAUGAAAAC
rnacentral:lncRNA from 1 species